AUUGAACGCUGGCGGCAGGCCUAACACAUGCAAGUCGAACGAGUGGCGGACGGGGGAGUAAUGUCUGGGAAACUGCCUGAUGGAGGGGGAUAACUACUGGAAACGGUAGCUAAUACCGCAUACCAUCAGAUGUGCCCAGAUGGGAUUAGCUAGUAGGUGGGGUAAUGGCUCACCAAGGCGACGAUCCCUAGCUGGUCUGAGAGGAUGACCGGCCACACUGGAAGUGAGACACGGUCCAGACUCCUACGCUAGGCAGCAGUGGGGAAUAUUGCGCAAUGGGCGCGAGCCUGAUGCAGCCAUGCCGCGUGUAUGAAGAAGGCCUUCGGGUUGUAAAGCACUUUCAGCGGGGAGGCGUUACCCGCAGAAGAAGCACCGGCUAACUACGUGCCAGCAGCCGCGGUAAUAC
rnacentral:rRNA from 1 species